rnacentral:rRNA from 1 species
UACGUAGGGGGCUAGCGUUGUCCGGAAUCAUUGGGCGUAAAGAGCGUGUAGGCGGUCCGGUAAGUCCGCUGUGAAAGUCCAGGGCUCAACCCUGGGAUGCCGGUCGAUACUGCCGGACUAGAGUUCGGAAGAGGCGAGUGGAAUUCCCGGUGUAGCGGUGAAAUGCGCAGAUAUCGGGAGGAACACCAAUGGCGAAGGCAGCUCGCUGGGACGUUACUGACGCUGAGACGCGAAAGCGUGGGGAGCAAACAGG